GAUAAGAACGCAGCGAAAUGCGAUAAGUAGUGUGAAUUGCAGAAUUCAGUGAAUCAUCGAAUCUUUGAACGCACAUUGCGCCCUUUGGUAUUCCUUAGGGCAUGCCUGUUCGAGCGUCAUUUAAACCUUCAAGCUAAGCUUGGUGUUGGGUGACUGUCCGCUUCACUGCGGACUCGCCUCAAAAUUAUUGGCGGCCGGUACAUUGGCUUCGAGCGCAGCAGAAACGCGAACUCGGGCCCGUCGUAUUGGCUCCCAGAAGCUAUCUUCACAAUUUUGACCUCGGAUCAGGUAGGGUUACCCGCUGAACUUAAGCAUAUCAAUAAGCGGAGGA
rnacentral:misc_RNA from 1 species